rnacentral:misc_RNA from 1 species
AAGCAGUGAGUGCAGCUGCUGUCAGUCCUGUCAAAGCUUUCUCCUUAAGCGAAGCCUUCACUUGAAACUUUGGUGGUUUUGAUGCUGAAGUAGUCUUUGAGGGCCUUACUGGCAAUGGCUGCAAGAAAGCCUCAACUCUUGGUUGUCUCUUGUGACUUGUGUAAGUCAGUGGCAUUGCCAUCGAAACUGCACAAGUAGAAGCCAUAAUUUGCCUGUCUUGUUAGGUCUGUGUAGAAUGAAAGUGUGCUUCUCUAUUGUUA